rnacentral:misc_RNA from 1 species
GGCAGUAAAAGUCGUAACAAGGUCUCCGUAGGUGAACCUGCGGAGGGAUCAUUACAGAGUUCAUGCCCUACCGGGUAGAUCUCCCACCCUAUGUUAUUAUUACUUUGUUGCUUUGGCGGGCCGUUAGGCUCCGGCCCGACUACCGGCCCCGGCUGGUAAGCGCCCGCCAGAGCACCCAAAACCCUGACUAUCAGUGUCGUCUGAGUACUAUAUAAUAGUUAAAACUUUCAACAACGGAUCUCUUGGUUCUG